UACGGAGGGUGCGAGCGUUACUCGGAAUCACUGGGCGUAAAGGGCGCGUAGGCGGUCUAGCAAGUCUGGUGUGAAAGCCCAGGGCGCAACCCUGGAAGGGCACUGGAAACUGCUAGGCUUGAGUUCCGGAGAGGAGGGGGGAGUUCCCUGUGUAGCGGUGAAAUGCGUAGAUAUCGGGAGGAAUACCGGUGGCGAAGGCGCCCCUAUGGACGGAGACUGACGAUGAGACGCGAAAGCGUGGGGAGCAAACAGG
rnacentral:rRNA from 1 species